UACGUAGGGUGCGAGCGUUAAUCGGAAUUACUGGGCGUAAAGGGCGCGUAGGUGGUGGCUUAAGCGUGCGGUGAAAGCUCGGAGCUCAACUCCGAGUCGGCCGUGCGAACUGGGCUCACUGGAGCAUAGUAGAGGCAGGUGGAAUUCCGGGUGUAGCGGUGGAAUGCGUAGAGAUCCGGAAGAACACCGGUGGCGAAGGCGGCCUGCUGGGCUAUGGCUGACACUGAGGCGCGACAGCGUGGGGAGCAAACAGG
rnacentral:rRNA from 1 species